GCCAGGUGUGGUGGCACAUACCUGUAAUCCCAGCUACUGGGGAGGCUGAGAUGGGAGAAUCGCUUGAACCCAGGAGGCAGAGGUUGCAGUGAGCUGAGAUCACGGCACUGCACUCCAGCCUGGGUGACAGGGUGAGAUCCCAUCUCAA
rfam:Pan troglodytes isolate Yerkes chimp pedigree #C0471 (Clint) chromosome 19, whole genome shotgun sequence.